GACGUAGGGCGCGAGCGUUGUCCGGAUUUAUUGGGCGUAAAGAGCUCGUAGGCGGCUUGUCGCGUCGACCGUGAAAACUUGGGGCUCAACCCCAAGCCUGCGGUCGAUACGGGCAGGCUAGAGUUCGGUAGGGGAGACUGGAAUCCUGGUGUAGCGGUGAAAUGCGCAGAUAUCAGGAGGAACACCGAUGGCGAAGGCAGGUCUCUGGGCCGAUACUGACGCUGAGGAGCGAAGGCCAGGGGAGCAAACGGG
rnacentral:rRNA from 1 species